AAAACGGCUCUUUUUAGAGCCACUCCGUAGUGCAAAAGAGUAUUUUU
rfam:Ciona savignyi cont_8121, whole genome shotgun sequence.